GAUGAAGAACGCAGCGAAAUGCGAUAAGUAAUGUGAAUUGCAGAAUUCAGUGAAUCAUCGAAUCUUUGAACGCACAUUGCGCCCGCCAGUAUUCUGGCGGGCAUGCCUGUUCGAGCGUCAUUUCAACCAUCAAGCCCCAGGCUUGUGUUGGGGACCUGCGGCUGCCGCAGGCCCUGAAAACCAGUGGCGGGCUCGCUGUCACACCGGGCGUAGUAGAUUUUAUCUCGCUCAGGGCGUGCUGCGGGUUCCGGCCGUUAAAAAGCCUUUUUUACCCAAGGUUGACCUCGCAUCAGGUAGGAAGACCCGCUGAACUUAAGCAUAUCAAUAAGCGGAGGA
rnacentral:misc_RNA from 1 species